AAUCCUAAAGUGGGGGCUGCCCAAACAAGGAGAGCGGCUUGGGGGCAGAAGCAGAGACGAUAGCUGCGCGCGGAAUAGACGGUGGAAAACGGAGCCAACAGGAGGCUCGCACACCUGGAGUCGCCACAACGCCGCGUGCUCAGCCUUUUUCUCAGGAUAUGAUUGGAUGGACGUGGACCACUUUGUAAAGAUAUGCUGCUGAGUGCAACUGUGCUGUGACUCAAGACUCCAUUCCUCUGAAGGACGACAGCUCAGACAACGAGGAAAAAGACAAAGGAACGGUUGAAAGAAACGACCGAUAACUCAUGAUCAGAUAUAGCAGACAUCCUCAGUGGAUUCUGAAAAUGGCCUGAUGGUGGUUGUGUCUAUCUUUCCAGCGACAUCUUUAAGGGAAGCCUACCAUUGCCACAGGUCACCUCCCAUGUGACAAACGGUUGUAGAAGAAAUGGGAUUUCCUUCUGUACUUAUGCUUAUCAAUAGAACUAGUCAUCGGAUACUAGUUAGUACCAAUAACCAUCCACAUCAAGACAGCUGCUCGCGGUUUUUGGCGCGAGUAUGAAGUAUCAAGGCAGCUCUUCGGCGGUGUUUGGCAAUGGUAGAACUCACACUGGUGAGGUAGAUGGAUCCGGUGGUUCUAGACUUGCCAACUACUGCCGGAGAGCUCGGCCCAUGACCAGGAAGGGACCGGAGAGGACAUCUCCGCACUCGGGAGUCACCACCAACUCUGCCUUCAUGUCUUUCUCCAGUGGAGCUGGAGGUGGAACUCGUCUAGUGUAGGGAGAUUCUUCCACGAGUGAGUGGCUGUUGGCGCUGCAGGGCGGGGUGAAACUUAGUGUUCUUCCCCUGCGCACCCCGGUCUCACAGCUCAAAUGACACGGGCAAUGAAAGCCAUAAAGCGUGUUGAUGUGUCGAAAAUAAACCAGGACGGCACAUUUAAGAUAUCGUCAGAGUAAGUUGACCGCUGUGAAGGGGUGAGUCUUUUUGGGAAAGUCUCCGUUUUGACGGGUUCCUUCACUGUCAACCUCUCGUCAACUCUGAUUCGGUCAGUCGGGUGUGCUCGUGCACGUCUGGAACAGGAGUCGGCACAGAAAAGGAGGCCCAGCGUUACGUAAGACCCCAGAAGAAAGAGCCCCUCUUUAGCCUUCAGCCAGCCAACAGGGGGUACCUCUCUUCGUUCCUAUCACAGGCAUAAUUAGCUAACUGUGUGGUGUCACCUUACUCUCCUCUUUCAAUGCAGCUUUUCUCCUUUCCUGUCCAAAACCUGCUUUGGAGAAAAAGGGUGCAGUUUGGAGCUCAGGGUCUGGAGUCUUUUUCACAAGAGUGAUUUGGUUGGUUGCAGCGGACCGUUCAUGAGCAGAGAGAUCGGCCCUUGCUCAGCUCAGUUUAACUGGGUCAGGGGCCGUUAUGUGGGUGACAGGGGGAUCUUGGGAUUAAAACGACUUUAUCUGCCUGUGUAUAAAUCCCAUGUUGUACUGUGCACUUCAGUGUCGGGCUAAUAUGAUGGUAUUGUCGCUUGUGUGGCCCAAGGUGUGUAUUUGAUAUGUCCGACCUGCACUAAGAUGGAUUUCCUUUUGUGUCUCGAGGCCGGAGAAAAUAGAAAAUAAAACGGAAAUGUUGCGAUUGUGGGCAGCAGAGCGUCAGCCUCGACAAAAAGUGGCCGGCUACGUAUCCUGUUCUACUGCCAGACAGACAGGCUGCUGAAUCAGAUUUGCCUUGCUUUAUUCUUCCUGUCUCAUGUUGCAGAAUAUAACAGGCAUCGAUGACAUGCACUCUUUGUUGCACAAAACGUGUAAGUGUUUUAUGUUGUUUAUUGUAAGAAUGUGAUUGUUUCUCGUGGAAAGGA